rnacentral:lncRNA from 1 species
CAUGAUAUUGCAAAACUUGAUGCCCCUUUGGAAAGAGUGGGCUGUCUGCUUGGAGCCUCUGCCUUCUCUAUCCAAAUACACGCGUCCACGCAAGGUCACCUUCAUCCUUGCAAAGAGACAAGGUCCAGCUUCUAGAAGAAAAGCUCUAGAAAGCUCCCACUCUACCUUCGCAGCUACCAUGACAGUCUGACCAUGGACUUGCCCGAAAGAGACAUGCUCACUGGUGCAUUCAGCAUUUCCCGAGGGGCCCCCUGGACCAGCCCCUGCGUCGGGCUUUGGGGACUCAGAAACAACCACAAGCCCUCGUUGCUGGAUCCAGACACCAGUGCAAGAGAAAGACACACAAACCGAUGACAGAUAGACAUGAUGGAACAACGACCGACCAGGGAGGCCAGUCUCAGGAGAGCAGCUGACGUGAUUCAGGGCAAACCCGGACAGAAGCUUCCAUGAAGGCAGUGACCUUAGGCCCGCGUUCUUAAAGAAGAGACCCCUAAACCAGAGUCCACGGAUGGGACCCACUGAGUCCCAGAAACCAGAGGGAUCCUAUGCAGAAUGGUGGGAACACACAUCGUUCCCUGGGAGAGAGUGUGCAAUUUCUCAUGUGACGGUCGAAGGGGGUUUUAAGUCCCUCUCUCCCUGGAAGAGUUUAAGAGCCACUGUCUUAUUGGAUGAGGAGGCAUUUCUAGCUGCAGAACGUGGAGAAAGGCCUUCCCAGCAAAGGAAACAGCACGUGCAAAGGGAGAGCUCUCUGAUGGCUGGUUUGGGGCAUGGACUGGAAGGAGAGAUGCCAGAUGCGG